rnacentral:rRNA from 1 species
UGUGAAUGAAGUUUUCGGAUGAAUUUCACUUUUUCGAGUGGCGGACGGGUGAGUAACGCGUGGGUAACCUGCCUUACACUGGGGGACAACAGAGAGAAAUUUCUGCUAAUACCGCAUAACCCGCUAGGGCCGCAUGGCCCAGACGGAAAAGAUUUAUCGGUGUAAGAUGGACCCGCGUCUGAUUAGCUUGUUGGUGAGGUAACGGCCCACCAAGGCAACGAUCAGUAGCCGAACUGAGAGGUUGACCGGCCACAUUGGGACUGAGACACGGCCCAGACUCCUACGGGAGGCAGCAGUGGGGAAUAUUGCACAAUGGGGGGAACCCUGAUGCAGCAACGCCGCGUGAGUGAGGAAGUAUUUCGGUAUGUAAAGCUCUAUCAGCAGGGAAGAGAUUGACGGUACCUGCAUAAGAAGCCCCGGCUAACUACGUGCCAGCAGCCGCGGUAAUACGUAGGGGGCAAGCGUUAUCCGGAUUUACUGGGUGUAAAGGGAGCGCAGACGGUUCAGUAAGUCAGAAGUGAAAACCCGCGGCCCAACUGCGGGACUGCUUUUGAAACUAUUGGACUAGAGUGCUGGAGGGGCAAGCGGAAUUCCUGGUGUAGCGGUGAAAUGCGUAGAUAUCAGGAGGAACACCGGUGGCGAA